rnacentral:rRNA from 1 species
CCUACGGGUGGCUGCUGUGGGGAAUAUUGGACAAUGGGGGGAACCCUGAUCCAGCCAUGCCGCGUGUGUGAAGAAGGCCCUCGGGUUGUAAAGCACUUUCAGUGAGGAAGAACGCCUGGUGGUUAAUACCCAUCAGGAAAGACAUCACUCACAGAAGAAGCACCGGCUAACUCCGUGCCAGCAGCCGCGGUAAUACGGAGGGUGCGAGCGUUAAUCGGAAUUACUGGGCGUAAAGCGCGCGUAGGUGGCUUGAUAAGCCGGUUGUGAAAGCCCCGGGCUCAACCUGGGAACGGCAUCCGGAACUGUCAAGCUAGAGUGCAGGAGAGGAAGGUAGAAUUCCCGGUGUAGCGGUGAAAUGCGUAGAGAUCGGGAGGAAUACCAGUGGCGAAGGCGGCCUUCUGGACUGACACUGACACUGAGGUGCGAAAGCGUGGGUAGCAAACAGGAUUAGAUACCCCAGUAGUC